AUUCGAUUAAUUUACUUGCGACCUGAUAAUAUACGAUGGUAACUAAACCAGAAUCAUAAUUUUCCAAAAAUAAACAGUGCAACACAAAAGAACAAGAAAAAUGGCAGGAAGAGAGAUAAAAGGUGUCUGAAGAGUUAAAAAUGGUCCCAUUAGAGAUGAGAAUGUUAUCCCCAUGGGAUCUCCUUGUAUGUACGUUGGUUGGUACCAGGAACACAAAACUAAUGGAGUACACAGGAGUUACGACACUGCGAGAGGGACACAAGCAGAGGCAUGCAGCAGCAGAGAGAAAGAGGCACACAAGCAAGCACAGAGAGAGGCAUUAGCAAUCAACGUAAAAACGGGAUACACAACAGGAACGAACAACAUAUAUAUACUAUAUACACACAUAUUGGUUGUAUAUUCCACACAAAAAUCAUGAUAAAAUGUGACGUCACUCUACCAUAAUAUCAUCAUCCCAAAAAUACUAGUAGAGUUAUAGUAAAGUUGACGGUUAGGUAUUGUACCUUGAAUCACUUAAGAGAUAAAACUUGAAAAAAGAGAUGUAAGACAAUUAUCAUUAUCUUUAAAUCAUUGCUUAUUGUUUGGAAUGUUGAAGACGCACCAUCAUGUACCUUGGAUCAAUCAACUCACUGUACCACUGAUCAAAGAUAAUAGGUACUAUCUUUUCCCCUAAUAUUGCGAUACGGUGUUUAACAUACAUAUAUGCAUGCAGAGCCGAAUCGAACAAACCGACGUUAAACGAACGAAUAACGAACGAUAAAGUUGAGGAAAAGCUCUCUUUCUAUGUCAUAUAUACAAUAUCAUAUAUACUACUACGAAGCACGAACGAUUCAUCCGCUCAUGCGCACAGCACACAUCAUUACAUCAUGGCUGCCACAAUCAGAAUACUGAAAAAACGAGAAACCGGGAUUACAAACCAUAUCAGCACAUUUUCUAUAGUCAGUUUUAAAACGGUUAUUGUGUUGUGAAAGUUGUUUUUUCUAAUCUAAUCAAGCAAAAUUUUUUUUUAUUUGUUCUCUCCCCCCAAAAAAAUUCAUCGUGUACA